AGGGUCAGGAGCUUCUAGGGGUUAAGGGAUCUGCGCGUGCGCGGCCUUUAGCCGCAGCUUACUGAGGAGUCCGGCGCGUGCGCGGAGUUGGAACUGGCUUCUGCGCCUAUGUAGGUGCAGCCUUAGUGGGAGCUCCUGGGGUCACAUGACCCUAAUUCAGUCAGGGAUCCCCUCCACGCUUUGCAGAAAUGCAUCGCCAUGUGCAUGGACCGGUACAUGGACGCCUGGAACACCGUGUCCCGCGCCUACAACUCCCGACUGCAGCGGGAACGAGCCAACAUGUGACCAGGACCUGUGCCUCACGGUCGGAACUGUUUUCCCUACCAGUAACGGCAGCUCCUUCCAGCCGCCCCGAAGUCUGGCAGCAUGGAGGGCUCCGGGGUCGAGGCCUCUACCCAGGGCUGCUGCGUCCAGCUCAGUCUCAGAAGAGAGUGAGGACCUGUUCGAGCGCGGGGAUCUGGCUGGCCCCACUGACCUGUGACCUCAUGAGAGCAGGCCAAUAAAUCGCUGCUGGGGCAG
rnacentral:lncRNA from 1 species